GACAGAGGGUGCAAACGUUGUUCGGAAUUACUGGGCGUAAAGCGUGUGUAGGCGGUCUCUUAAGUCGGAUGUGAAAGCCCCGGGCUCAACCCGGGAAGUGCACUCGAAACUGGGAGGCUAGAGUACUGGAGAGGUUGGUGGAAUUCUCGGUGUAGAGGUGGAAUUCGUAGAUAUCGAGAGGAACACCGGUGGCGAAGGCGGCCAACUGGACAGAUACUGACGCUGAGACACGAAAGCGUGGGGAGCAAACAGG
rnacentral:rRNA from 1 species